CAACGAGCGCCAACCCUCGACCUUAGUUCGCCAGCAUUCAGGUUGGCACUACGUAAGGUGACUGCCGGCUAAAAAGUCGGAGGAAGGUGGGGAUGACGUCAAAUCAUCAUGCCCCUUAUGACCUGGGCUACACACGUGCUACAAUGGGCGGUACAAAGGGUCGCGAACCCGCGAGGGGGAGCCAAUCCCAAAAAGCCGCUCUCAGUUCGGAUUGCAGGCUGCAACUCGCCUGCAUGAAGCCGGAAUCGCUAGUAAUCGCGGAUCCAGCAUGCCGCGGUGAAUACGUUCCCGGGCCUU
rnacentral:rRNA from 1 species